rnacentral:sRNA from 2 species
AGGGAUGGUGGCCGGUGGCAAGGUGGUCGUGGUGGCCGGGGAGGUGGAGGCAGAAGCAGGGCAGGCCGUGGUGGCCGUGGUGGCCGUGGGGAAUAUUAUGGCGCCCCGAUAUAAUGAAUGAUACGAUAAUAUAUCCGCGGUUGCAGGAUUUCAAGCGCUUUUUUUCUUACAUUGAUUCAUUUUGCACUUUUCUGGGAAUGGACUAUAGGGAAGUCGGGAAGGUAGGCGUUUUGUACUCUUCGUGUAUGACUAGGCACUUGAUUUUACUAAAAACAAAUUGAUCGAUGGGAAUUAUCAUGCAUUUCAUCUCGAGUCUGGAUCCACCAACUUCAUUCGCAUGAUCCCUUGAGAGGAAGUGCAAUCCUAGUCAACCACUGAAAACAUCAGUAGUUUCUUACUCUGCUCUGGAUUCUGCUCUGGAUACUCUUGGUAACUACA